UUCCGGUUGAUCCUGCCGGACCCUACUGCUAUCGGGGUGGGACUAAGACAUGCUAGUCGUGCGUCUCUAAGCCAUGGUAGAGACGCGGCGUACGGCUCAGUAACACGUGGUUAACCUACCCUUAGGACGGGGACAACCCCGGGAAACUGGGGCUAAUUUCUGAUAGGUGAGGAGGCCUGGAAUGGUUCCUCGCCGAAAAGGCGUUGAAACCAUGCUUUUCAACGUCGCCUAAGGAUGGGGCCGCGCCCGAUCAGGUUGUUGGUGAGGUAACGGCUCACCAAGCCUAUAACCGGUACGGGCCGUGAGGGCGGGAGCCCGGAGAUGGGCACUGAGACAAGGGCCCAGGCCCUACGGGGCGCAGCAGUCGCGAAAACUCCGCAAUGCGCGAAAGCGUGACGGGGCUACCCCGAGUGCCGUCCGCUGAGGAUGGCUUUUCCCCGGUGUAAUGAGCCGGGGGAAUAAGGAGAGGGCAAGACUGGUGUCAGCCGCCGCGGUAAUACCAGCUCUCCGAGUGGUAGGGACGAUUAUUGGGCUUAAAGCGUCCGUAGCCGGCUUAGCAAGUCUCCUGUUAAAUUCAGCGACUCAAUCGUUGAGCCGCGGGAGAUACUACUAGGCUAGGAGGCGGGAGAGGUCGACGGUAUUCCCGGGGGAGGGGUGAAAUCCUAUAAUCCCGGGAGGACCACCAGUGGCGAAGGCUGUCGGCUAGAACGCGCUCGACGGUGAGGGACGAAAGCUGGGGGAGCGAACCGGAUUAGAUACCCGGGUAGUCCCAGCUGUAAACGAUGCGGGCUAGGUGUUGAGGUGGCUACGAGCCACUUCAGUGCCGCAGGGAAGCCAUUAAGCCCGCCGCCUGGGGAGUACGGCCGCAAGGCUGAAACUUAAAGGAAUUGGCGGGGG
rnacentral:rRNA from 1 species